rnacentral:rRNA from 1 species
AGAGUUGAUCCUGGCUCAGGAUGAACGCUAGCGACAGGCUUAACACAUGCAAGUCGAGGGGCAGCAUGAGGGUAGCAAUACUCUCGAUGGCGACCGGCGCACUGGUGAGUAACACGGUAUGCAACCUGGCCCCUGGUUGGGGGGAUAACCCGCGGAAACGCGGCCUAAUACCCCGUAUGCGCGGACGCCGCAUGACGUCCGUGUGAGAGAAUUUCGUCCAGGGAUGGGCAUGCGGCGCAUUAGCUAGUUGGCGGGGCAACGGCCCACCAAGGCCACGAUGCGUAGGGGUUCUGAGAGGAAGGUCCCCCACACUGGUACUGAGACACGGACCAGACUCCUACGGGAGGCAGCAGUGAGGAAUAUUGGUCAAUGGACGGUAGUCUGAACCAGCCAAGUCGCGUGAGGGAUGACGGCCCUACGGGUUGUAAACCUCUUUUGCCGGGGAGUAACCGUCGCCACGCGUGGCGGCCUGAGAGUACCCGGCGAAUAAGCAUCGGCUAACUCCGUGCCAGCAGCCGC